rnacentral:tRNA from 1 species
GCGCACAUAGCUCAGUUGGUUAGAGUUCCGGUCUUACACACCGGCUGUCGGGGGUUCGAGUCCCUCUGUGCGCACCG